UUCACGUUUCACGAAUGCAGUCCCCCGUUCGCGAAUGUUUGUCUUAUUGACCACUUCUGUUCGAAGCGGUCGAAGUCGAACGCGUGUAGGCGCCCCUGGUUAUCCUACUACCGAGACGCAGCUAUAAAACUCCUCAAUAUGGAAAGUUGCACGUGAUCCUGCGGAGUCGUACGUAUGUACCUACAGAGUCGCCCAAUAGGCACCGUGUAUCAACCACUACGAUGUGUGCCGGUCUUGUGUAUCAACCAUGGGCGCCACCAUGCGCGAGGUACAUGGAUUUCCAGACUUAUUGUUAGCUGCCCCAUAGGCCAUAAGGUCACUACGUGAUCGACGUUACUACAUAUCUUUGGGCGCAGCUGAAACAGAAAGCAACUGAAACGAUUUUGAUUUCGUAAUUCGUUUUAACAACCCUAAAAGGAAGUAAAUAUAUAUAUGGUAAAGAAUUAAUAAAUAAAGUGAAGGAAUACUUAAA